AUGGCAGAUUUGUUGCAGGAGAACUUGACUGAGAAGCCAAAGUACAAUGUUCAUAUUACAUCUAGUGAGGGUGAAUAUAAGCAGCUUCACGCAUCAUUCCUUCCUUGGCGGACAAGCGUAGUCUGUGUUUCUCUCUGUUGCUCUGCUCAGUUUCAAUGGAAGGUAGCCUGGCUAUUCUAUCACCCGACUAAGUGCUGCCCAGUGGCACUACUUUGGCUGCCGAUGCGGGCAAACUAUUUCACUAAAGUUCGGGUAUAUGCAGUUCAGAAGGGAGGGUUGAUCAUCAGGUUAUCAACCAAUCUAUACUGCGGCAAUACAACAAAAUCCGAAGGGAUGCAGGAGUUCCUGACGAUUGGAAUACAGGUGACAUAUAUAUGCCAGGCAGUAUGCUUAUAUGGAGAAAUUCUAGAGAAGACUGCAGCUAGUGCAGAAGAAUUCAACAUCAACAAAGCUAGCUUUCAGUUGCACAAGAAGAAAAAAGAAUGCAUGGCGAGGGAAAUAUACAUGGGAGUUAUUAGUGCAGAUUUUCAAGGAAGCCUGCUUCUCAUUAAGGCCAUCUGGGUGUGGUCACUAUAUUUGGCUGGAAGUGCGACGAAGACUAAGCAAGAUGUUACAUGCAACAUGGUUUGUCGUCAGUUACGACAGUUUGGGCAGUUCGUUCUGCAUCUUAAGAAUGGGGUUUCUUGCUGCUCAUGCCAUUAUACUACAGGAGGAGAUACAUGGUAUGGGUGUGAGUUGGAUUUGGUGAACCUACAGGACAGUAAGGUGAUGUUAGUGGAGCUGAGCUCUUGGAACUGUGAGUUAGUAACGAGGGCGGUGCAACCUCCACCUUCUUGGGAGUCUCAUUCAUUGGAAAAAUUAUCCACCUUGCUACAUUCUGCCACAAGUGACAAUGAAAACACAGAAGUACAGGUCAGCAUGAUGCUUAUGCAUACAUCAGUUCAGUGGCAUUACUUGAGGAAAGAGGAAUUUGAGGGGAGUGGAAAUUCUUCAAGAGACGGCCUGAUGGUACCCCAAUCAGCAAAUGGAAUUCAGGGAUCUAAACUUAGGAGUUCCAACCAAGUGUCUGCUUUUCAUCAAUGA
rnacentral:rRNA from 1 species